UCGGAGAGUUUGAUCCUGGCUCAGGACGAACGCUGGCGGCGUGCCUAAUACAUGCAAGUCGAGCGAACAGAAGGGAGCUUGCUCCCGGAUGUUAGCGGCGGACGGGUGAGUAACACGUGGGCAACCU
rnacentral:rRNA from 1 species